GCAGACCUGAACAUGCAAGUCUAAGGAUCUGGCCCCGCCCCCUGCUUCCUUUACCACACUCGACAAUAUCCACGAACUGUUUCAUUUUUGAUUAGAUGGGGUGAUCUUAAUCAUCUUCAGACCUGGAACUUCAGUCUCUCUGACAUCCUGUGUCUGGGGCAAGAUAGAACUCAUCCAACAAAAGAGUAGAGAGAAGAUCAAGCCCUAUUUGCCAGUGUCUCCCAUCACAUGCCUUAUGAAGGGG
rnacentral:lncRNA from 1 species